rnacentral:lncRNA from 1 species
CAAGGGGUGGCUGGGAUCAGCUCAGUGCCACAGAGACAGGGCUCCCCCCCGGCCUGGGCCCACCAUUCCCAGACCUCACCCCUGCACUCACAUAUGGCUGCUUCUGUCACUGGGCCCCAGGUGACACCUGCGGAGACAGCCCCCGUAAGGCUCCUGUUCCCGCCCCCUCCCGCCCCAGGGACCCAGACCCCAGGAGGCCUCACCCCACAGCAAGAGAAAGACCACGAGCAUGGACAUGAUGGUCGCGCUCACUCCGGUGCAGUGAGUGUCUGGGUGAUGGAUCCUAGAACCUGUUCUAGAAGGAGACGCUGAGUUCUCCCCACUCUACCUGGAGCUGCUGAGGUCAAGUGGAGAGUGCCGGGGCUGAAGCCCAGCGAGCCCCUCCCUGUCACACCACACUGCACAUGUGACACCAAAGGUGGGGUUCACCUCUUUUCAGACUUUCUGCGGUUGCCCUCACAUGGGCUGUCUGGAGGUGCACCCUCACUCUUCCUGAGGACUGUGGUUCCUUCUCCAUCACUGGUUCAUUCUGCAUGGUGUGACCCACCACGGCUCUGGAGUCGGAUUUCCACCCAGGUCAUUCAGCUGAGACCUGCGCUUCCCAGGCCUACCCGUGACAUGUGCUCAGUUACCUGAGCUGCUGGUGGUCACUCAUGUGGCUAUAGCCUGCUGCCUGGAGGCCAGGCCUCCCGCUUCCCCUGCCUCCCCCUCUCCUCACCACAGCCUGUUGGGAUGGAACAGGACAGGGGUGAGACCGUGGUGCUUUCACACUCAGCCUCCAUGGACAUCCUGUCAUUCCCACCCGGGGAGGUCUGGUCCCCACCCUGGGUGUCCCAGCCUAGCUCCGCUACGAGUGUGAGGGCCCAGGGCAACCGCCUAGCCCUCAUCUGCCCCCUGCACUGCAUCCUCCCCACUCAUUCAUUCCACAGGCAUUUAUUGAGCAUCUACUGUGUGCCAGAUGCAAAGAAGACAGUGGGAUAACUGGGCAAGGAGCAUUCCAGGCAGAGGGAACAGCCAGUGCAAACAUGGGAGAUGCGGGUGCAGUGAGAAGGAGCAGAGGAGACCAGGAGUUGAGGCGACUGCAGAGCGAUUGCAGAGCUCAUAGACGUGAUGAAGACCAGCUGGGCACUGCAGCGGCUCUGGCUUCUGCUGUGAGGGACGGGGAGCUGUGGAGACUCCCUCUGUUUGGUCCCAUUUCCAUAUUGCUGAGCACCUGCUGCAUGCUCUCUGUCCUGCUCAGAGCCAGUACCUGGAUGGAGGCUGUGUGUUCUGGGUGGACUGGGGGAGAAUGCAUUCUUUGCAGAAGAGACAACCAGGUGCUGAGGCCUGAAGUCAUAACCAGACCUGGGGCACUCAGACAAGGACUGGUGGCCAGGCCAGAGGAGCAGAGCUCAGGGUGUGCACAGAACUCAGAAGUCAGACCACUGAACAGUGACAGAACCUUUCAGCCCAUUGGCAAUGAGGCUGCCCAGGCAGCCAGAGGCCUGGUCAAAUCUGAGGUCUGCAGAGAUGGAGCUGUCAUUCUGUGUUUCCUUUGGCAGUCCCAACACCAGCCUCGUUGCACCCUCCUCUUAGCUUCCCUGGGUUCUCCAGCCCUAAGGGUGGUAGCAGCUUCCUGCAAGUAUCCAGCUCUGAGAUUCUGCAACAUCCACUUUUGCUCUCUGAGCCUUGCAAAACCUGCACAAUCAGUCCCUAACUUAUAUCCCCUCUGUUUGAAAUACCUAGUGUGGUUUCUAUUUCCUGACUUGACUCUGACUGGUGUGGUACUUGGUAUAAAGAAGGUUCCCUGGCCAGGUGCGGUGGCUCACGCCUAUAAUCCCAACGCUUUGGGAGGCUGAGGCAGGAGGAUCACUUGAGCCCAGGAGUUUUGAGACCCGCCUAGGCAACAUGGUGAGACACUGUCCUUACAAAAAAUUUUAAAAUUAGCCAGGUGUAGUGACGCAAGUCUGUCAUCCCAGCUGCUUGGGAGGCUGAGGUGGGAGGAUCACCUGAGCCUAAGAAGUCGCGGCUGCAAUAAACAGUGAUUGCACCACUGCACUCCAGCCUGGGUGACAGAGUGAAACCCUGCCC